CCCGCUGAACUUAAGCAUAUCAAUAAGCGCAGGAAAAGAAACCAACAGGGAUUGCCUCAGUAACGGCGAGUGAAGCGGCAACAGCUCAAAUUUGAAAUCUGGCCUCUCGGGGUCCGAGUUGUAAUUUGUAGAGGAUGUUUUGGGUACCGCCCCGGUUUAAAUUUCUUGGAACAGAAUGUCAAAGAGGGUGAGAAUCCCGUCUUGGACCGGCGGUAGGGCCUAUGUAAAACUCCUUCGACGAGUCGAGUUGUUUGGGAAUGCAGCUCAAAAUGGGUGGUAAAUUUCAUCUAAAGCUAAAUAUUGGCCAGAGACCGAUAGCGCACAAGUAGAGUGAUCGAAAGAUGAAAAGCACUUUGAAAAGAGAGUUAAACAGUAUGUGAAAUUGUUGAAAGGGAAGCGCUUGCAACCAGACUUGAGCGCGGCGGUUCCCCUAGCCUUUUGGCUAGGUUACUCCGCCGUGUCCAGGCCAACAUCGGUUCUGAGGGUCGGUCAAAGGCCUUGGGAAUGUAGCUUCUUUCGAGGAGUGUUAUAGCCCCUGGUGCAAUGCAAUCAGUCUGGACUGAGGACCGCGCUUCGGCUAGGAUGCUGGCGUAAUGGUUGUAAGCGACCCGUCUUGAAACACGG
rnacentral:rRNA from 1 species